GCCACAAUUGAUUUAAACUCCCAAUCAGCUGCACCACCAACUCAACCCACUCCCAGCCAUACAAAAGUUGGCGGUGCAGUUAAAUGUGAUUGUGGACAACAAGAAUAGUGUUCUUAGCCAGACCUUCGUCGACUUUCAUUACGAAUGCCUUGGACUUUUGAAUGCAUCCGGGCAUAUGUAAAUAUUGGCAUUAGUGACAUGUGCAAAUGUUUGUAUGGCUGAUUCCCUGAGACCCUAACUUGUGACUUUUAAUACCAGUUUCACAAGUUUUGAUCUCCGGUAUUGGACGCAAACUUGCUGAUGUUAGUAAAAAAACAAAGGCAAGACCAAAAGCUGAUCGAGAGCGGUUUUAUCAAAUGUAAAAAACUAAUUCUUCAGGAGAAAUUAGCAGUUCAGCUGGUUAUGGAUGCGUGGAUAACGAUCUCACGGAUAACUUUUGGAUUCUAUUGUACUGACAAUGGUCACAAGCCGAAGGUUCCAAAUACAAUCUUCUAUAUCUACAUCUUUCAAAAAGAACAUUCGAAUUUAUGUUACAAAAACUCAAAAGCUUUUUGAUAAAUCACAUUGUUCCAAAUCCUGUUCUAUAUAUUUUUUUGCAAUAUAUGCGUGGAUAACGAUCUAAUAGAUAACUUUUGGAUUUGAUUGUACUGACAAAUGUAACAAGCCGAAGAUUCAAAAAACAAUCUCCUAUAUCUACAGCUUUCAAAAAGUACAUUCGAAUUUAUGUUACGAAAAUGCAAACGGUUUUUGAUAAAUCACAUUGUGCCAAAUCCUGGACUAUAUAUUUUUUUUUUACUUACUUCAGUUCAGUUUUUUUACUUAAUUUAAACUUAUUUAAUAUUAGAAUAUUCAUUUUGUUUAUUUUUAAAUAUAAAUUAAUGUUUUGUUUGCUUUUUACAUUGAAAAUUUCAAAAAUUUCAACAUUAUAUUGUUUUUGUGAGGUUCUUUUCCAGUAAAAACAAAAUUGUUUUCAAUUAUUUAUCCAUAAAAAAUCUUUAUUGUAAACCCAAUGAUGUCGUCUACUAAAAACAUCACUGAAGCCACGUGGUAAAAUAUACAUGAUUUUAAUGCAUUUAAACUACAAACUACCUCUAAGAUCUAAAGAUACAUUGUGAGAGAGCUUUGAAUAAAUCGAUACAAGUCAUGGUUUUGAUCUGAACAAUUUCAUUGUCAAGAGAGCACGAA